GAAAGAAAGAAAGAAAAAAAAAAAAGGAAAAAAAAGCAGGAGGUGUUAGGCCCCAGUGGCAGGGGCUGGAGAACAGGGAGUGCAGCUUCAAAGUCUGCUUGGAAGGAGGCAAAAAUGUGAAUUUCAGAGGAAGGAAAGAGCCCCUGCGGAAAAAAAUUCGGGGAGUUUGUCAGCAUUCAUCCACCAUCCACUUGGAGAGAGGAAAGUGAGUGCACACUUAUCAUACUUCUUGGCAAUAAAAGCAAUAGUUUUCACUGAAAUUCAGGGUAGAUUUGGGUCUGCGCUGAUGGCAACUGAAAUCCUCUGGAGAACGGGAGCACGAGGUGGAAUUCAAGGGAAGUUGCACUUUGGUUGAGCUCCCGGUCUGGAACUGCUCCGUGGCCAGCCCUGAGCGUCUCAGGCAGCCUCCACUUCCUCCUGCUGGCACCUAAUCAGGAUUUCCCAGGCCUGCCAAGGAGCUCUCCGCUGUCUGCUGAAGGAAUCUGGAGCAAGGGACACCUUGAAUUUGUCAAAAGACACCUGGGACUGUGUGGAGAGACCUCUGGGUGGGCAUCGGAAUUCUGGAGGAUCAGGGAUGAGCCAACAGAGACAGAAGGAGGGCUCUGUCCUGGAGAAGUUCUGCUCGCUGGAAAGGAUCCACCUGUCCCUGGGUUGCAUUUUAAAAACAAACGAGCAAACAAAACUGUGUUUUGAAUUUGCAGUAUGUGUUGCUGGUGGUUUCUUGAGCUUUGUAUAUUUGGACAAUUAUUUAGGGUUUUAGAACUUUAAGGAUAAAAAAAAAACAAUGAGCUUAUAAAAAAGUAAAAAAACACCCCUGUGAAGUGAUAGUGCUGUGCCUUUUUCAGUUCUUUAUCAGCCUAUAUGCUUUUUUCUGAAGAAAGUAGACAAUACCCCAUUUAUAUCCCUGCUGUGGCCAAAGUCCCUUCAGAGCACACGGUCCCACCAUGUGGGACUUGUUUAACUUUCUUAGUGCUUGAACAGCUCGUGUAUAUAGGACACUGAAAGUAUCACAGCAAUAUUUCAGCAUCAAACUGUUGAUGUAUCGACCAUUUCAAGGGAUGCUCCAGCUCCACCAGGAGCUGUGUCUCCAGAACUUUCCACUCAUGAAACCCAAGUCGCAGGAGGGGGGUGGCUCAGGGAGCUGCAGGAAGCUGAGAUCUCCAGUUUGGGGUUUGGCUCUGACCCUGAAGUGUCGUGGGCCAGGCCAGGCCAGUGGCCAGCUGGCCAGGCCAGCCCUUUCCUGAGCAAACGUUUAAGCACAAUUGCAGCUUCAUCAAAGCACAAAGAGCGAGAGAGGAGCUGUGCUGAUCACACCAGAGUUUGCUGGAAGGUUUGGUCUUUGAUACUGCAAAUCCCAAGGGCGGAGGGAGGUGGAGAAUCAGCGUUCACAGCAAUAACACCACAUGAAAACGUGGACUAGGAGGGGUUUGGCCACUGUGUGUGAGGGGGAGAAGGGUUCAGCAGGUGACAGAAGGCACCUGGUCCCUGUGUGUGCAGGAGAGACAGCUCCUGUGCUCUGGCCCAGUCCAAAGUGCUCAGCUUCUGCCUCUGCUGGCACAGGGAUUCUCGAGGCAGCAGCAGAGUUGAAGGAACGGGGAUCACGAGAGAAAGAUGGCUCUGCUUUAAAGGGCUGAGAGAAAAGGUUUUUGUUGUGUGGUUUCCCUUCGGAAGGGAAUCUGUCUGACACCGUGGAACACAGAGUGACACCUGAAGGGAAACAGCCUGACAAAAACUGCAGCAGAGCAGAGCAGGAGCGAUGAGGAAACAGAGUGCUGUCCUUUCACUCCUCCUUCCCUGCCCCAGAGCAGAACCCACACGUUCUGGAAUGUGAAAUCUGUCCCAACACUCACAGUCUGGGCAGUGAAAGCUGCCUCCAGGACAGCCAGCACUCUGGAGACAGCCCCAGUGCUGCUGCAGGAGCUGGGUGGCUGCCAGAAGAAUAACCACUUCCUUCCCCAUCCAGCUCCAGGAUCCUGCACGUUUCAGGACUCAAAAAUAAUUCCGUCCUGGAGUUCUGCAAUUCAUUUAUCAGGAUGUGCCAACCAGUGUGAGCUCCUUUGAGCUUCGCAGUGCUGGGCAGGGGGAAGCUGCAGUAUUUUUUAAUGUAGUUUAGACUGACUCUUUCCCCUCAGCCAAAAGCAUAUUGAACAUUUCAUGUCAUUUCCUUUAAGCCAAUUAGGACUAAAAGGCUUCUGAAGCCUUCUCAUACAGAGAGGAUCCAUUGGGCACCACUUCCUUCUCCUUUGAAGUGGCUUUUUUGUUCCAAUCUCUUCUGUUCUAACACUAGAGAACUGUGUACACUACUGUUAGAGUAAUUAUUAGCUUUAUUAUCUUGUACUACAGCCUCCUUUGAAGAGACUUUGGUGUGAUGUAUAUGGGGUACAAAUUUCAUACGGAGAAAAGUGCAAUAUGUGUGUGUGUGGUAUGUUCUUUAAUGUAUUUUUUUAAGGAUUUAGAGGGUUUAGUCUCUGCUUUGGGAUAAAUGCACUAGUUUUGUGAGCUCCAGUUUGGCAAGUUCAUCUGUAGUAUUUACAUGCAACUGAUCUGCUGGACUCUGUAAAGCAGUUACAGUGUAUUAAUACACAAUAAAGAAUAUGUGCAUUUCAUUUUUUAAA